GACAAGUGGCGCACGGGUGCGUAACGCGUAUGCAAUCUACCUUUAACUGAGGAAUAGCCCAGAGAAAUUUGGAUUAAUACCUCAUAGUAUUAUUUAUAGGCAUCUAUUUAUAAUUAAAACUCCGGUGGUUAAAGAUGAGCAUGCGUCCUAUUAGCUAGUUGGUAAGGUAAAAGCUUACCAAGGCUACGAUAGGUAGGGGGCCUGAGAGGGUGACCCCCCACACUGGUACUGAGACACGGACCAGACUCCUACGGGAGGCAGCAGUGAGGAAUAUUGCGCAAUGGAGGAAACUCUGACGCAGCCAUGCCGCGUGCAGGAUGAAUGCCCUAUGGGUUGUAAACUGCUUUUCUGCAAGAAGAAACCUUAGUACGUGUACUAAGCUGACGGUAUGCAG
rnacentral:rRNA from 1 species